AGAGUUUGAUCAUGGCUCAGAAUAACGCUAGCGGCAGGCUUAAUACAUGCAAGUCGAGGGGCAGCGCAGUGUAGCAAUACAUGGGCGGCGACCGGCAAACGGGUGCGGAACACGUACGCAACCUUCCUUCAAGCGGGGGAUAGCUUUCGGAAACGAAAAUUAAUACCCCAUAGAAUUAUCUGAUGGCAUCAGAGGAUAAUUAAAGAUUUAUCACUUGAAGAUGGGCGUGCGCCUGAUUAGGUAGUUGGCGGGGUAACGGCCCACCAAGCCUACGAUCAGUAACUGGUGUGAGAGCACGACCAGUCACACGGGCACUGAGACACGGGCCCGACUCCUACGGGAGGCAGCAGUAAGGAAUAUUGGUCAAUGGACGCAAGUCUGAACCAGCCAUGCCGCGUGGAGGAUGAAGGUCCUCUGGAUUGUAAACUUCUUUUAUCGGAGAAGAAACCCUCGCAUUCUUGUGGGGUUGACGGUACCCGAUGAAUAAGCACCGGCUAACUCCGUGCCAGCAGCCGCGGUAAUACGGAGGGUGCAAGCGUUAUCCGGAUUCACUGGGUUUAAAGGGAGCGUAGGUGGGCUGGUAAGUCAGUGGUGAAAUCUCCGGGCUUAACUCGGAAACUGCCGUUGAUACUAUCAGUCUUGAAUGUUGUGGAGGUAAGCGGAAUAUGUCAUGUAGCGGUGAAAUGCUUAGAUAUGACAUAGAACACCGAUAGCGAAGGCAGCUUGCUACACAAUUAUUGACACUGAGGCUCGAAAGCGUGGGGAUCAAACAGGAUUAGAUACCCUAGUAGUCC
rnacentral:rRNA from 1 species